rnacentral:rRNA from 1 species
UACGAAGGGGGCUAGCGUUGCUCGGAAUCACUGGGCGUAAAGCGCACGUAGGCGGACUCUUAAGUCGGUGGUGAAAUCCUGGAGCUCAACUCCAGAACUGCCUUGGAUACUGAGAGUCUUGAGUCCGGGAGAGGUGAGUGGAACUGCGAGUGUAGAGGUGAAAUUCGUAGAUAUUCGCAAGAACACCAGUGGCGAAGGCGGCUCACUGGCCCGGUACUGACGCUGAGGUGCGAAAGCGUGGGGAGCAAACAGG